GCCUAAAGCGUCCGUAGCCGGCUCUGUUAGUUUUCGGUUAAGUCCAUAUGCUCAACAUAUGGGCCGCCGGGAAUACUACAAAGCUAGGGAGUGGGAGAGGUAGACGGUACUCCGUAGGAAGGGGUAAAAUCCUUUGAUCUAUGGAUGACCACCAGUGGCGAAGGCGGUCUACCAGAACACGUUCGACGGUGAGGGAUGAAAGCUGGGGGAGCAAACCGGAUUAGAUACCCGGGUAGUCCCAGCUGUAAACUAUGCAAACUCAGUGAUGCAUUGGCUUGUGGCCAGUGCAGUGCCGCAGAGAAGUCGUUAAGUUUGCCGCCUGGGAAGUACGUACGCAAGUAUGAAACUUAAAGGAAUUGGCGGGGGAGCACCACAAGGGGUGAAGCCUGCGGUUCAAUUGGAGUCAACGCCAGAAAUCUUACCCGGAGAGACAGCAGGAUGAAGGUCAAGUUGAAGCCUUUACCAGACAAGCUGAGAAGUGGUGCAUGGCCGUCGCCAGCUCGUGCCGUGAGGUGUCCUGUUAAGUCAGGUAACGAGCGAGAUCCUUGCCUCUAGUUGCCACCAUUACUCUCAGGAGUAGUGGGGCGAAUUAGCGGGACUGCCGUAGUUAAUACGGAGGAAGGAGAGGGCCACGGCAGGUCAGUAUGCCCCGAA
rnacentral:rRNA from 1 species